rnacentral:rRNA from 1 species
AUGAACGCUAGCGACAGGCUUAACACAUGCAAGUCGAGGGGCAGCACAGGUAGCAAUACCGGGUGGCGACCGGCGCACGGGUGAGUAACGCGUAUGCAACUUGCCUAUCAGAGGGGGAUAACCCGGCGAAAGUCGGACUAAUACCGCAUGAAGCAGGGGCCCCGCAUGGGGAUAUUUGCUAAAGAUUCAUCGCUGAUAGAUAGGCAUGCGUUCCAUUAGGCAGUUGGCGGGGUAACGGCCCACCAAACCGACGAUGGAUAGGGGUUCUGAGAGGAAGGUCCCCCACAUUGGUACUGAGACACGGACCAAACUCCUACGGGAGGCAGCAGUGAGGAAUAUUGGUCAAUGGGCGUAAGCCUGAACCAGCCAAGUCGCGUGAGGGAUGAAGGUUCUAUGGAUCGUAAACCUCUUUUAUAAGGGGAUAAAGUGCGGGACGUGUCCCGUUUUGUAUGUACCUUAUGAAUAAGGAUCGGCUAACUCCGUGCCAGCAGCCGCGGUAAUACGGAGGAUCCGAGCGUUAUCCGGAUUUAUUGGGUUUAAAGGGUGCGUAGGCGGCCUUUUAAGUCAGCGGUGAAAGUCUGUGGCUCAACCAUAGAAUUGCCGUUGAAACUGGGGGGCUUGAGUAUGUUUGAGGCAGGCGGAAUGCGUGGUGUAGCGGUGAAAUGCAUAGAUAUCACGCAGAACCCCGAUUGCGAAGGCAGCCUGCCAAGCCAUUACUGACGCUGAUGCACGAAAGCGUGGGGAUCAAACGGGAUUAGAUACCCUGGUAGUCCACGCAGUAAACGAUGAUCACUAGCUGUUUGCGAUACACUGUAAGCGGCACAGCGAAAGCGUUAAGUGAUCCACCUGGGGAGUACGCCGGCAACGGUGAAACUCAAAGGAAUUGACGGGGGCCCGCACGAGCGGAGGAACAUGUGGUUUAAUUCGAUGAUACGCGAGGAACCUUACCCGGGUUUGAACGCAUUCGGACCGAGGUGGAAACACCUUUUCUAGCAAUAGCCGUUUGCGAGGUGCUGCAUGGUUGUCGUCAGCUCGUGCCGUGAGGUGUCGGCUUAAGUGCCAUAACGAGCGCAACCCUUGCCACUAGUUACUAACAGGUAAAGCUGAGGACUCUGGUGGGACUGCCAGCGUAAGCUGCGAGGAAGGCGGGGAUGACGUCAAAUCAGCACGGCCCUUACAUCCGGGGCGACACACGUGUUACAAUGGCGUGGACAAAGGGAGGCCACCUGGCGACAGGGAGCGAAUCCCCAAACCACGUCUCAGUUCGGAUCGGAGUCUGCAACCCGACUCCGUGAAGCUGGAUUCGCUAGUAAUCGCGCAUCAGCCAUGGCGCGGUGAAUACGUUCCCGGGCCUUGUACACACCGCCCGUCAAGCCAUGGGAGCCGGGGGUACCUGAAGUCCGUAACCGAAAGGAUCGGCCUAGGGUAAAACUAGUGACUGGGGCU